UUUCCGAAAAAUGAUAAUCAAACAUAUCACCGGCCUCGUCUUGUUCUCUAGACCACAAAUCUGUCACUAAUUUCUCAAGAUCUCAUCUCUAACGUCCUAACCGAAUCAUACACUUCAUGAACACUAAAAAUUCAACCACAACUUACAUAACAAUGAACAAGAUUCAGAGCCCUACAUGUUAGGGCUUUGAUCCCCCUUCAUGCAAGGUAUAGUAUGGUAACUUAAUUGAAGUGAAAUGAUGAAGAUGGACCUACAUCCGAAGCUGAGAAAUUUCUUCGGCGAAUAUUGAUCAGAAAAGACGAAAGACAGAGGAAAAUCACUUGAACGAGAAGGUUAGGAAGAUUUGUGCUAUGCAAGUGGACUGAGUUUUUUUGAACCUCUGAUAAGCAAUUUUGCAGGAUUCACUUGGAUUGUAUCAGGUGGUAGCAUGUUGUAUUACCUGGAUAUUUGUGAAUGUUUUUGUCUUGAAUAUUGCAGGAUACAUGACUGGUGCAUUACCAAUUGCAACUUGUCGUAUCAGUUUACAGGGCAACAAGUGUUGUAUGUAAGGCCAUCGUGUUUUGAGUUUGCAAGAUGUUCAGCAGGUUCUGACUUGGGUUUGCAGCAUGGUUACCAGAUUCUAACUUAAGCAUAUUUGAUGUAGCUAUGGUAUUAUGGGGAAAUUCUCAAUCUGAAUGUGGACUGAGGUGUAAUCAGGUGUGCAUUCUAUGUUGAAUCUUCUCUGCAAGGGGGCACAAAUCACUUCCAGAAUUCUACAUUAUGGUCUUGCAGCACUAGUAUGGUUCUGACCGGUUAUCAGCAGGUUUAUGGCCAAUGCAUUGGAUGCUCAAAAUGGUAGUAGGUCUGCAAGUUCACUGCCUUGAUGCUGACCAUAGUAGUUGUAAAUUAGCCUAGGUGCAUUAAUUUGGUUUUGCAGCAUGAAGUGUUUUGCCUUGCCUUUAUUCUGCAGGUUUGUGGUUUGCUCAAGUAUGACCAAGUCCAUGGCAUGAUGACAUCAAGGUUGAAAAUCAAAUACACAUGGCCAAAUUAAGAUCAAAGAUGGAAUUGAAAAGAUGGGAUUAGGACUAUGAUGGGAGACUUAUGGGUUUAGGAUAGAAAAGAAAUUGAGUUGACUUUGGUCAAAGUUGAUGAAAAAGUCAACUGUUGACCAAAGUCAACAUUUGGUCAACAUGUAAUUUUUGCAUUUUUGUUUGAAUGAGACAUUUGUGGUUAUGUAAUUUGAUGUAUAUGAAUGAAAUUGACACUUGUUUAUGGAUGAA